CCUACGGGGGGCAGCAGUGAGGAAUAUUGGUCAAUGGACGAGAGUCUGAACCAGCCAAGUAGCGUGAAGGAUGACUGCCCUAUGGGUUGUAAACUUCUUUUAUAAAGGAAUAAAACGAGUCACGUGUGCCUCUUUGCAUGUACUUUAUGAAUAAGGAUCGGCUAAUUCCGUGCCAGCAGCCGCGGUAAUACGGAGGAUCCGAGCGUUAUCCGGAUUUAUUGGGUUUAAAGGGAGCGUAGACGGGUUGUUAAGUCAGGUGUGAAAGUUUGCGGCUCAACCGUAAAAUUGCAAUUGAUACUGGCAGUCUUGAGUACAGUUGAGGUAGGCGGAAUUCGUGGUGUAGCGGUGAAAUGCUUAGAUAUCACGAAGAACCCCGAUUGCGAAGGCAGCUUACUAAACUGUGACUGACAUUGAUGCUCGAAAGUGUGGGUAUCAAACAGGAUUAGAUACCCGGGUAGUC
rnacentral:rRNA from 1 species